GCGCCGUCCGUCGUUGCGCAAUACUAUGAACACAUUGAAUCAGGUGUAUAAUAGUAUGGAAGGGAAUACUUCUGCCUAUCUCGACCCCUUCUUGUUCAUAAGAAAAUCUUACAGUAACCAUAAUGGGAAGAAGGAUCCAUCAAGUCUUCAACAUGCCAACCGGGGAUAGUCUCUAUUAAGUACUCCGAUAUGCUACUGGUCGAGUCUGAAGCUUGCUCACUGAGGGAUUGCGAUCCACUGGACGAUGUAGCACCUUGAUGUGUAGAAACGGCUGCAGAAAGCUUGACCCCAGUUAGAAGAAACCUGUUAUGCUUCUUGCGCGGAGAUUCUUUCAACUGAGGAUUAAGAAGAGAGAAACGGGGGUGUUUGCUAGCCAGCUUAUUGGCGUUAUGAACUCUGUUGUCGCAGUUCUGGCAGAGGGCGGCUUCAUCUGCGGUGCAGAAUACGGACGCUGCUUCUU